CUUCAUGGCGGCUGUGUUUGGGACGCCUUCGGGCGUGCCGGGUGAUCCCUGCCGGUUGACCAACCUGGACACAGUCCGCCACCCAU
rnacentral:antisense_RNA from 1 species